rnacentral:rRNA from 1 species
GAUGAACGCUAGCUACGGGCUUAACACAUGCAAGUCGAGGGGUAGCAGGGUAGCAAUACCGCUGACGACCGGCGCACGGGUGAGUAACACGUAUCCAACCUUCCCACAACUCAGGGACAGCCUUUCGAAAGAAAGAUUAAUACCUGAUGGUACUUAUAUAAGGCAUCUUUUAUAAGUUAAAGAUUUAUUGGUUAUGGAUGGGGAUGCGUUCCAUUAGAUAGUUGGUGAGGUAACGGCUCACCAAGUCUUCGAUGGAUAGGGGUUCUGAGGGGAAGGUCCCCCACAUUGGUACUGAGACACGGACCAAACUCCUACGGGAGGCAGCAGUGAGGAAUAUUGGUCAAUGGGCGCGAGCCUGAACCAGCCAAGUAGCGUGAAGGAUGAAGGUCCUAUGGAUUGUAAACUUCUUUUAUAGUAGAAUAAAGUGAGCCACGUGUGGUUUUUUGUAUGUAUACUAUGAAUAAGGAUCGGCUAACUCCGUGCCAGCCGCCGCCGUAAUAC